rnacentral:misc_RNA from 1 species
CCCUAACCCUAAUCUCCAAAUUAAUUCUCCAGUUUCUUUCUAAUCUCUUCAAUCAGCCUUUGAAAUUUGCCCUGAGAAGCCCAUUCUCUUGAAGCUCAAAUCCAAGCAUAUUUAAACAUUCAGUUAUCUGAAAUUUUUGAAUUAUUAUUAUUAUUGAUUUUUUUUCAAGACAUGGAUAGCUCAAUCUCACUAUAAUGAUCAACGUCGAAUCGCUUCGGGUUUUGCUUUUAGGGCACCAAUUGCAU